UUGGUUUUUUCAAAAUCGAAUGUAGAUCCUUGUGUCUACUAUAAAUAUGAAAAUGAACAUGUUAUGUUUAUAACUAUAUAUCUAUAUAUGACAUUUUGUUGUUUCACAACUGUCAUGAGUCAGCAAACAAUAUAAAAAUAAAAAUGAAGAAUAAUUUCAAAAUGAAUGAGCUUGAAAUUGCUUAUUGUUAUAUUGGACUUUGUAUUUCAUACAUUUCAGAAGGAAUAGCCAUUGAUCAAACUAGGUACAUAGAAAAUACAUUAAGACGUUUUGGUAUGGAACAAUGUAACUCAGUAGGAACUCCAAUGGAACCGAAUAUCAAGUUUUCAAGUUCUGAAAAAUUUGAAAGUAUACCUUACCAGGAAGCCACUGGCUGCUUAUUAUACAUCUCACAAGGAACUAGGCCAGAUAUAUGCUAUGCAGUGCAUACAUUAUGUCGAUAUAAUAGUUCUCAUACAGAAGAGCAUUGGAAUGCUGUUAAGAGGUUAUUUCGAUACUUACAAGGGUGCAGCGAUAUCUUGGAAUUCAAAAAGGCAGCAAACUGUUGCCUUGUCUACUACUGAGGCAGAGUAUAUGGCGCUCUCAGCUGCUACUCAAGAAGCUAUGUGGCUGAGACAGUUGCACUGUGAACUGUGGCCUUCUUUAAAGGUUACACCUAUUACUUUGUACUGUGAUAAUCAAAGUGCUAUUAAACUUACAGGUACUUACAGUUAUCAUGCUAGGAGUAAACACAUUGAUGUUCGUCACCACUAUCUGAGGAACAAAGUUGAAUGUGGUGAUGUCAAGAUUGAAUAUGUGGGCACUGAUUCGAUGGUUGCUGACUGCCUCACCAAAGCCCUACCGAAGCCCAAACACCAGCACUUCCUCAUCGCUAUGGGUUUGCGUUCAAGGGAGGAUGUUAAACUGAACGCAACCACUUAAUAUUAUGUAGUCUGUAUCUGUCAAUGUAAUCUGUAUCUGUCAAUGUAGUCUGUUAUAAUAAUUGUAUCGCCCCUGUCUGUUCCAAGAAAUUGAGCGGUUCGCACCAUUGUCUAA